GAGGACCGCCGCAACGAGAGAGGUCAUGGUAUUUCAGGAUGUUCCGGGUCCGGAAUUGUUGCCGAGGACCGUCGCAACGAUUGGGGCCAUGGAAAUGGAUGUAAAGUUAAAUUUUAGGUGCCUAGGCUGGACGAUAUUUGGAGAUAUGUUUUUCAGGUAGGCUAUUCUGAAGGU